CCACUGAAUGACUGGCCAUCAGAAUCCUGUACAACACUCAGACCUGCUUGCCAGAUAAGUGAGAUCCACGGAAGAAGGAGCCUCUGUAAGAUAGAGUACGUCCAAGAAAUGCCAGGCUUGUUGGCAGCAGCCGGCAACUAUCAGGCGGAGAGGUCUCUGGAGCAUCAAAGGCGUUUUCAUCCCUAUCUAUAGGGCUGGAGAUUUAGAAACGAGUGUGCUGCUCAAUAGCCUGCAAUUUAGUACAUCCUCACAAAACGAGAGCCUGCCUUAUAGUAUAUUAUCACUCCCCCCCCCCUUUUUUUUCAGCAGGCUUAACAGUUUCCUUCUUCACCAUUAUGGAGAAGUUAUCUGCAUGGACCAGGCUGUGGGCUGCGAAUCACUUUCUUUUGUGUCUGCGAUGAUGGGCCGAGUUAUUCUUUGUACUGGACCCAUGUGGGAUUUAUGCAAACCAUGCUCACUCAAGUGUCCUGGGGGAAUGUGAAGACUGUCCCAUUUUCCAGAUGAGGACAUGGAGCAUCAUGGAUAUUAUCCUCUCUACAAGAUCUCAGAAAACUGAAAAUUGGGAUACCUUCAGACUUCAAAGAAGCUUCCAAGACAAACAGAAGAUAUAUAUUUUCACCAGAAUAUUGAUGCUAAAAAGGUGGUCAUUUGCAACAAGGAGCAGCUUGGGAUCAUUGGAAAGGCUGUACAAUUUCCAGAAUUUAAUCUAG
rnacentral:lncRNA from 1 species